AGUGAACGCUGGCGGUAGGCUUAACACAUGCAAGUCGAACGGCAGCACAGUAAGAGCUUGCUCUUACGGGUUGCGAGUGGCGGACGGGUGAGGAAUACAUCGGAAUCUACUUUUUCGUGGGGGAUAACGUAGGGAAACUUACUCUAAUACCGCAUACGACCUACGGGUUAAAGCAGGGGAUCUUCGGACCUUGCGCGAUUGAAUUAGCCGAUGUCGGAUUGGCUAGUUGGCGGGUUAAAGGCCCACCAAGGCGACGAUCCGUAGCCGGAGUGAGAGGAUGGUCGGCGGCACUGGAGGUUGAACACGGUCCAGGCUACUACGAGAGGCAGCAGUGGGGAAUAGUGGGCAAUAGGCGGGAACCUGGUACAGCCGUACCGCGUGUGAGGAGGAGGCCUUCGGGUUGUGAAGCCCGUUUGUUGGGAAAGAAAAGCAGCAGGUUAAGACGCAGCUGUUGUGACGGUACCCAAAGAAUAAGCACCGGCUAACUUCGUG
rnacentral:rRNA from 1 species